UGCCCCGUGGCUGAGUUGGUUACAGCGUCCGACUGUUAUGAGCAUGCACAAGAUUCUGAGUUCGCCUUGCAUCUAGUGUGUGUGAAGUUCUAUCGGAAGGUCGUGAGUUCGAGCCUCACCGGGGCAG